CUGAGCGGAGCCCAUUGAUUAUUUUAAUCCGCCUAUUUGUGAGUGUGUGAUCCUCGCGGCUGUACCUUCGACAGGGGAAUCGCUAAUGGGCCUCGGCGCUCCCGCCUCAGACCUCUCCCUGUCCAAUUAGCUCUCCUCCGCGCGCCGCCGCGGCGCGAGCUGCAGCGCGAGCCGCGGCCGCCGCCUCCCUCCGACCCCCACAGGCGGCACGUUCACCAAAGCCUGUAAGUCCAGAACGCCAUUAACUUCGCUUUUAAUUAACGCGCCCCUCCUCUUCCAAAAGAAUAUAGCCCGCGCCAUUCUGUCUGCAGUUGAGCUCUGCAGCAGCCUGCUUCGACUCGUAAAAGUCGGAACUUCUUAAUUUUUUUUUUUUUUGCGACAGCUGGUUCUUACCACAGUGUGUGGGUGCCGCGCGCCCAGUAGCUAAGUGUAAAAUUAGCUUUUAAUGUCUUUCAUCCUCGAGGCAACUCCUCGGCGCACACGCGUGGAGACAUUUUAGGCAACGCGGCUCUGAAGCGCUGAGACAAGAAGAAGAAAACAAAAAAAUGGAGGCAAAUCCAAAUGGUGAUGAUUUUACCUGUUUCAGGCACGUACAAACACUUGUCUGGAUUGAUUGCGGAUGCUAGGAGUUGUCACAUUUCUUGCCCACUCUGCCAAGUUAUAGACAAAGGAAAAGCCAAACAGAAAGUGAUAGAGGAUGUUAACUGUUCCUUUAAAAUGUCCACAUCUGUGCAUAGACUGAAUUUGUCACAUAUAGAGCUUGAACCAUGAUGUGCAGUAGUGGCAUGGUUGUGUCUUUAGAACAUGCAGCCUCGGGUUGUUUUGCU